GAGUUUGAUCCUGGCUCAGGAUGAACGCUGGCGGUAUGCUUUACACAUGCAAGUCGUACGAGAGUUUUUAACUCAAGUGGCGGACGGGUGAGUAACACGUAAGAAUUUACCUUUAGGAGGGGGAUAACAACUGGAAACGGUUGCUAAUACCCCAUAUGCUUUCGAGUGAAAUGGAGUUUUCCGCCUGAAGAGAAGCUUGCGGCUGAUUAGCUUGUUGGUAAGGUAAUGGCUUACCAAGGCGACGAUCAGUAUCUGGUUUGAGAGGACGAUCAGACACACUGGAACUGAGACACGGUCCAGACUCCUACGGGAGGCAGCAGUGGGGAAUUUUCCGCAAUGGGCGAAAGCCUGACGGAGCAAUACUGCGUGAGGGAUGACGGCCUAUGGGUUGUAAACCUCUUUUUUCAGGGAGGAAUAAAAUGACGUGUACCUGAAGAAUAAGCAUCGGCUAACUCCGUGCCAGCAGCCGCGGUAAGACGGAGGAGGCAAGUGUUAUCCGGAAUCACUGGGCGUAAAGCGUCUGUAGGUGGUUUAAUAAGUCAACUGUUAAAUCUUGGAGCUCAACUUCAAAAUCGCAGUCGAAACUAUUAGAC
rnacentral:rRNA from 1 species